rnacentral:tRNA from 4 species
GUGGCUGUAGCUCAACGGUAGAGUACCUGGCUGUGGACCAGGGUGUUGCGGGUUCGAUCCCCGUCAGCCACCCCA